AACUGGGCCAAGGUCACAGGUAAGCUGGGAACCCAACCUUCUGCAGGCAGUUCUUGCCCUUGGGCCAGUACGUUUUUCAGAACGCGAGGAGGUGAUGAUUAUGAUGAAGUAAUCUAUCUACAUGACUCGGGGUUUUCACUGUUGUCAAAGCGUGGAGCUUCAUUUCCAAAAGGAUCCGGGGUAGUCAUCUGCCAGCUUUGUUCAAACUUGUGAACAAGAGCGUUCGACAAAACUCUCCCCUCAUUAAUCUGACUCUUUCCAGCAACCGGAAAGGUCUCUAGAAAUCCUUCUCUGAACUGCACUCAAAAUGAGGGAGUUAAGCUGAAAGCGACUUUGGGAAAGGGGUCCUGGUGCAAGCCUCUAGCUACGUAUGCCAUCUUCGGUUGCAGCAUCGUGAGGGGUGCCCAGAUCAGAGCAGAAACCAGCCAAGGUGGCAGAGUCUGUAGGAAGAGCCGAAGACUGAAGUGGGACAGCGCCUACCUAAACUACACACAGGCACUUAAAGGGCUGCUCUCACGUGACCCAGCGCCCCGCAUCCGGGCCGCGCACGGACCCGCAGCACCCCUGAAUCACCUCGGCUGCAGCAGCAGGAUCGGGACCCGCCGCAACUGGUUCCUGUCCACCGCAGCCAACAACGCCGCCGCCGCCAUCUCCGCGCUGUUCUGCUGGAUUCCAAAAACUGCUUGGCUUAUUCGUGAAAGCGUCCCUCCCUGCGCAGGCUUCUUGCCCCAGGUCCGCCACCGUAGCUCCGAAGAGCAAGUGGGCGUCUCCGCAAGAGCCAAUCAUGGAACUGGGUGUUUCAAAGCUAGAUUGUCCUUGCUGCAUGAGACCCACCUGCCACAGUUGAGAAAGAAUGGAGCGAGGCCAGCUCAGUAUCACAGAUGCUGGAAGGCUGCCAAGCCACUCACAGACUUGACUUCAAUUUCCAUUGGAAAGCACACAGAGAAGACAGUAGCUGACCACAUCUGAGCUAGUGCCCUUUGCUGUGGGCUGAGCCCUACUACUGCCUAAGCAGAAAUUCAACUCAACAAGGCAAACUGAGACAAGUGAGUAGACAUACAACAAACAAGAGUGUGCCUGAUAAAGUCCUGCACACAAAUACCCCAACCAAACCUCCCCGAAAAGAGUGCCACCAACUGGGAAACAAAUGGUCAAGUAUGGGGGACAUUUCUUAUUCAAAACAUUGUCAAUUGGUGAAUAUGGGUUAUUGAAAUCGCCCACUUUUACUGUGUUGGGAUCAAUCUGUGUUUUUAGAUCUACCAGUUCUUCUUUUAUGAAAUGGGGUGGCCCUGUAUUUGAUGUACACGUGUUUAUUAAUGUAGUGUACUGUUGGUAGAUUUCCUUUUUCUUUGAGGAGAAUGAAGAAUCUCUCUGCCUUUGUUUGGGUUUUACUGCUGUGAACAGAUACCAUGACCAAGGCAACUAUUACAAGGACAACAUUUAAUUGGAGUUGGCUUGCAGGUUCAGAGGUUCAGUCCAUUAUCAUCAAGGUGGGAGCAUGGCAGCGCCCAGUCAGGAAUGGUGCUGGAGGAGCUGAGAAUUCAACAUCUUGUUUUGAAGGCAAACAGCUGAAGACUGGCUUCCAGGCAGCUAGGAUGAAGGUCUUAAAGCCCAUGCCCGCAGGGACACACCUGCUCCAACAAGGCCACACCUCCUAAUAGUGUCACUCCCUGGGCCAAGCAUAUACAAACCAUCACAAGCUCCUUACCUCUUUUGGCUAGUUUUGGGUUGAAGUCUGGUUUAUCAGACAUUAGAAUGUGUUUACAUUUUAGUUUCUUUUGUUUUGAAUAUUUUUUUUUGCAUCUUUUACUCUAAAGUGAUGUCUAUUUUGAUAUGAGGCAUGUUUCUUAGAGGCAGAAAAAAUAGAUCCCAUUUCUUAAUCCAAUCUUUUACUCAGUCAAUUGCUGUCAUUUUGUUAAUUUUGUAAAGUUUUCUCAUAUCUCGUUGGAUUCCCUGUCUUGACACUGUUUAUUUCAUUUCUGUGACUGCUUGACUGUGUUUAGCCUUUUUUUUCAGCAUUCCUUCUGGUCACCCCUUGUAGAGCUGGCUUAGUAGUAGUAAAGUCCUUUUAUCUAUCCUUUGUAUGAAAGAUUUUAUUUUUCCUUCAAUUCUCAGGGAUAGUUUUGCUGAGUAUAAUAGUCUGGGUUGGGAAAUAUUAACUUUUUUUUAUAAAUUGGAAAUGUUCAUUUUCUGCUUUAUGGAAUACUUAAGGAGUAUUAGUGUUAAUUCCUUUUUUGAAUAUGUGGUAGAAUUUUGAGCUAAAUCCAUCUGGCCCUGAAUAUUUUAUUAAUUUAGAGAUUUUUUAAUUAUCAUUUGUAACCCACUUGUGCCAUGUUUCUAUCUAAAUUAUUUCUUCUUUUUUAAUCUUGAUUCAGCUCUGUUACCCCAUAUAUAUGUAGAAAUUGAUCCAUUUCUUUUAGAUGUUAUGGUUUGAUGGGAUAAAGAUUUUUAAAGUAUGUCAUUACAACUGUCUGAAUUUCCAUAGUGUCUGUUGCAAUCUCUCCCAUUUUAUCCCUAAUUUUGUAAAGUUAGAUUAAAAUGUGUUGACAAUAGCUAUUGUAUCAGUAUAUUGAGUUGAUAUUUAUACUUUAGGAUGUUCAUGGAUUAAUAAUAAUUGGCAAAUAAGCCAUCACUAAGUUGACAUUUAACUCCAUGAAAAGUAUUAACAACUUUGUUUCUUUGCUGCCUUAACAACCAACAUUGAAGAAGUCUAAGUGCAUAAAACUCUGUGAUAAAUGUGUUUACUUGUGAUAUUUACUUAAAAAUACAGAUCCAAAUAUAGUUUAAAAUAUUAAAUUUUUACUACUAAUCUCUGAUACAAAAAUAUUCUUUAAUGUUUAACCUAUAUAUUGGAAAAUAAUCAAAAAAUUUUAUGAAUAGCCAAGUAACAUAUUAAAGCAAAUUUUAUAUUUCAAGUUACACACACACACACACACAUAUAUAUAUAUUCAUAUUAAAAUCUCUAUAUGUUCUUCCGAUAGAUUGUCUAGGAAGACUCUAGCUUCAUAGAUGAGUAAACUCUAGAGGAGAACUCUACAGAGUCCAGAUUCAGAUUCAUCAGGAGCUGCAAAGAAAACAUUCUCUGUGUUAAAGACUUUAUAGUGAAUUGACAAUGAGUUAGUUUUAAAACAUUAAAAGAAUUCAUCAGUGUUAAUGAAGAUGGACCUAACAUGUCCCACUGGUGCGAUAGUGACAUGCCUGCUUUCUGAUUGGAUUUGAGGUCUGUCCAUAGGAGGAAACUGGGUUCCUGGUACUAUAAUCCUGGUCAAAAGCCUGUGGCUGGUAUCUAAGUUAGGGUUACUAGUGCUGAAACAUGAAACGUCAUGACCAAAGCAACUUUGGAAGGGAAAGGGUUUAUUUGGCUUAUACUUCUCAUCACUGUUUUAAAACGGAAGGAGGUAAGGACAGGAACUCGGGCAGGGCUAGGACCUGGAGGCAGGAGUCAUGGAGGGGUGCUGCUUACUGGCUUAUUCCUUGUGGGUUGCUUAGCAUGCUUUCUUAUAGAAGUGAGGACUACCAGUCUGGGACUGACACUAUCCGCAAUUGAUUGGCUGGGUAGUGGAUCAAUCACUCCCCCAUCCAUCACUAACUGAAAAAAAAAAUGUCCUACCUUACUUACAGUGCAAUAUUAUGGAGGCAUUUUGUUGCUGGAAACCUGCCUGGCCUUGAAUGGGCUUGAAGAGGGACACAGUGUCAAACAUUGCUUUAAAGACUAAUGGUCUCUGGCCCUCUAGCUCUCUAACUAUACUGAAUGCUUGCUGAUAACUUCUAAAAGCUUUUAAAAAUGUUCUUGCUUACUCUAUGGUUUAAAAACACAGGCUUUUUUUUUUUUUCCCUUUUUAACUCUGUGCUUUCUUAAACAUUAUAACUCUCUGUGCUUUAUUUAACUCUUUAUGCUUAAAUAAACAGUGGAGAAACUU
rnacentral:lncRNA from 1 species